rnacentral:rRNA from 1 species
UACGGGGGGUGCAAGCGUUGUUCGGAAUUAUUGGGCGUAAAGCGCGUGUAGGCGGUUUGAUUAGUCUGAUGUGAAAGCCCUGGGCUCAACCUGGGAACUGCGUUUGUGACUGCAAGGCUAGAGUAUGGCAGAGGGGGGUGGAAUUUCCUGUGUAGCGGUGAAAUGCGUAGAUAUAGGAAGGAACACCAGUGGCGAAGGCGACCACCUGGACUGAUACUGACACUGAGGUGCGAAAGCGUGGGGAGCAAACAGGAUUAGAAACCCCAGUAGU